rnacentral:RNase_P_RNA from 1 species
GGAGCGGGGCGGGCGAUCGCCGGGGCAACCCGGAGGAAGGUCCGGACUCCACAGGACAGGGUGCUGGCUAACGGCCAGGCGCAGCAAGCCGCAAGGCCCAAGGCGACGGAAAGUGGAACAGAAAGACACCGCCCAAGCCCCUCGGGGCCGGCAAGGGUGAAAUGGCGAGGUAAGAGCUCACCGCGGCGAUGGCGACAUCGCCGGCAUGCCAAACCCCACCCGGAGCAACACCGAAUAGGCACGCGAUCCGGCUUGCGCCGGGCAGGGUGGUCCGCCCGAGCGUGCGGGUAGGUGGCCAGAGCGGUCGGGCAACCGGCCGCCCAGAGGAAUGAUCGUCACGCCGGGCAACCGGCGCACAGAAUCCGGCCUACAGCCCCGCUCCGCCC